CCCCCCCAGUCCUUGUAGAAAACUGGCAAAAAGGCUUAAGUAAUAUGUAGACAGAUGCAAAUGUGCUUUCAUGUCUUGUAGCUCUUUGAAAAUCCUUUCCUGUUACAACUACAGACAUGUCUUUCACCACAGAGUGCUGGGAGAGCUAGUGGCACAAGAAGGUUCGUUGCUUGCUGCAGUGGCUGUGUAAGUUCAUGCCUUGUUUUGGCUUGCCAGCAGUGUGUUGAACUGUUGCAGUGUAUCCAAGGUACAAGUUGUGUCAGCUUCCCAAUUUCUAAAUCACAGUAAAUUUGUUCAGCUCAGCAAUGUCCUUUUGUAGCUGUCAGUCCUGGGUGAGGAUGGCUGUGUCUCCUUAUCCACACAUGUUUUUCUUCCUUACCUUGUGGUGUAUAAGGGCCCUCCUUAAACCUUAGGAAGGAGUUAAUGAAAUGCCACUUUUACGGUGUCAUGCUGUUAAAUAUCUCCAUGAAGAUGGAAUAAUUUAUUUUCCCCAUCAGUUUUCUGGUGAGUGUUUUUUACAGAUGCUCAUACUGAUCAAGUAUUUCUCUAGAAUUGCAGUAUUGUUUGACUAAGUUGCUGUAAUGAUGUGAUUUAUUUGUUACCUCAGCCAAAUUAGAGAGUACCAAGUAUAUCUGUGGAUCAAUUAACCAGGAUCAGAAGGCAAAGUAAGUAUAUUCAGUUAUGUUGAGAGCUGUAAAGUCCUCUUUGGUGUCAAACUUUGUAGAUGGUGGCAUAGCAUCAAAAGUAUGUAAAAAAAAAGUUUCACUUCCAGGUAGCAGAGCAGUGUGCAGGAAGGGGACAACUUUGGGAUGCAAAUAGCUACUGGUUUUGUACUUUGCAGUGAGAAAUGGGUAUUUGUAUACAGCUGGUCUGUACUGUCUUCCUAGUUAGGAUUAAAGACAGGCUGUUAGUCACUGUCUUUUCUUGUGGGUUAGUUCUCUGAACUAGCACUUGUUCAGAUUGCACUUCCUUUAAUGUCAGCUUUAAAAAAUAACUUAGUGCAUAUUUUAUUAUGUAAGUACAUCAUGCAGAGGGUCAAACUGUGUUUUGUGUGCCUUGAAUCCAUGCUUCUCUCAUUAAAUGAAAAAGCCUGGUAAAUUAGCUGCUGCUGUUAAUCACUGAGGAUGUGCUGGUGAUCAGUACUCUGCUUUUGCUAGAAAGAUAUUUCAGGGAGUGGUUAUCCUUCUUAGUGGAUGGAAUGACUGUCUGGUAAUACACUUUAACAGAAGUUUGUAAAUCACUCUUGUCCUGAAAUUUGUGAAAAUCCUCCAGUGAUUCAGGCUCUCUGCUGUGGCUUUAUGACCUUGCCCAUCACCUAAGGAGUUUUGAAAGUGCAGAGUCCAGUCUGAACUCAUGACCCAGUGGGAGGCUCUUCCUCAAGGAGUUGGAUGGUGCUGUGCUUCUCUGGGCACAGACAGUGGAGAGCCAGCAGACAGGAGAUUAAUUUCAGGAUGAAGUGGAGGACAACUGAGAGAAGACUGCUGUGCAGGCAUCUGAGCAUGAGCAAAAGUCUUUCUGGAAACUGUUUUUCAUCCAGUCCUCAAUGUUACACAUCUUGACUCUCUCUGAAUACCAGCAGAUGGAUAAGUGUUUUAAAGCAGGUCCCAGGACAAAAUUAUCCUUCUUUAGCUCCACUGGAG